AGAUUGAACGCUGGCGGCGUGCUUAACACAUGCAAGUCGAGCGGUAACGCGGGAGCAAUCCUGGCGACGAGCGGCGAACGGGUGAGUAAUGCUUGGGAAUCUGCCCAUUAGUGGGGAACAACCAGCCGAAAGGUUGGCUAAUACCGCAUACGCCCUACGGGGGAAAGCGGGGGAUCGAAAGACCUCGCGCUAAUGGAUGAGCCCAAGUCGGAUUAGCUUGUUGGUAGGGUAACGGCCUACCAAGGCGACAAUCCGUAGCUGGUCUGAGAGGACGACCAGCCACACUGGGACUGAGACACGGCCCAGACUCCUACGGGAGGCAGCAGUGGGGAAUAUUGGACAAUGGGGGCAACCCUGAUCCAGCGACGCCGCGUGUGUGAAGAAGGCCUGCGGGUUGUAAAGCACUUUUAGUGGGGAUGAAAAGCUCAGGGUUAACACCUCUGGGUCUUGACCUAACCCACAGAAAAAAGCACCGGCUAACUCUGCGCCAGCAGCCGCGGUAA
rnacentral:rRNA from 1 species